UUCCGGGUGGAUCUCUGAGGCCGGACGAAACCCGCCACAAAGAGUGUCAGAGCGAGAGAAAGAGCCCAAGCAGUGGCGAGCAGCCGGAGGAGGGAGAAGCAGGUGCCCGCGGGACACUAGCCCGCACGGUUGUGCCCUCUUCAGUCUGCAGGUUGUAAAGAGAUGAAACAGAGGACAAAGGAAGACAUUCAAAGUGACAGAAUGAGGACACCCACUACUACCGGCCUUGAAGAUGGAGGAAGGGAAUCACAAGCCACGGAAUGUAGAUUUGAGGAACUGGGAACAGUGCUCAGCUGACAGCCAGCAAGAAAGCAGGGACUUCAAAAAACCGAAUUCUUCCAACAACUUCAAUAAGCAAGGAUAUGGAACUCUCUCUAGAGCCUUCAGGGAGAAAUGCAGCCCCCUGACACCUUGAUUCUAGCCUCGUGAGA